GAUGAACGCUGGCGGCGUGCUUAACACAUGCAAGUCGAACGAAGCAUUUAAGACAGAUUACCUCGGUUUGAAGUCUUUUAUGACUGAGUGGCGGACGGGUGAGUAACGCGUGGGUAACCUGCCUCAUACAGGGGGAUAGCAGCUGGAAACGGCUGGUAAUACCGCAUAAGCGCACAGUACCACAUGGUACAGUGUGAAAAACUCCGGUGGUAUGAGAUGGACCCGCGUCUGAUUAGCUUGUUGGCGGGGUAACGGCCCACCAAGGCGACGAUCAGUAGCCGACCUGAGAGGGUGACCGGCCACAUUGGGACUGAGACACGGCCCAGACUCCUACGGGAGGCAGCAGUGGGGAAUAUUGCACAAUGGAGGAAACUCUGAUGCAGCGACGCCGCGUGAGUGAAGAAGUAGUUCGCUAUGUAAAGCUCUAUCAGCAGGGAAGAUAGUGACGGUACCUGACGAAGAAGCUCCGGCUAAAUACGUG
rnacentral:rRNA from 1 species